AAUGGGGGCAACCCUGAUCCAGCGACGCCGCGUGUGUGAAGAAGGCCUGCGGGUUGUAAAGCACUUUUAGUGGGGAGGAAGGUCUGCGACCUAACACGUCGUGGAAUUGACUUAACCCACAGAAAAAGCACCGGCUAACUCUGUGCCAGCAGCCGCGGUAAUACAGAGGGUGCAAGCGUUAAUCGGAAUUACUGGGCGUAAAGCGUGCGUAGGCGGUUUCGUAAGUCGGAUGUGAAAGCCCCGGGCUCAACCUGGGAAUUGCAUUCGAGACUGCGAAGCUGGAGUGCGGAAGAGGGAAGUGGAAUUUCCGGUGUAGCGGUGAAAUGCGUAGAUAUCGGAAGGAACAUCAGUGGCGAAAGCGACUUCCUGGUCCAGCACUGACGCUCAGGCACGAAAGCGUGGGGAGCAAA
rnacentral:rRNA from 1 species